AGCAGCCGCGGUAAUUCCAGCUCCAAUAGCGUAUAUUAAAGUUGUUGCAGUUAAAAAGCUCGUAGUUGAAUUUCGGGGUUCUACCGUCGGUCGGGCUACCAAGUCUGUACUGGUGUGUAGAAUUUCUACCUUCUGGGGAACCAUCAUGUUAUUAAUUUAGCGUGGUGGGAAACCAGGACCUUUACCUUGAAAAAAUUAGAGUGUUCAAAGCAGGCUUUUGUCUGAAUACAUUAGCAUGGAAUAAUAGAAUAGGACGGUGGUCCUGUUUUGUUGGUUUCUGAAUCACCGUAAUGAUUAAUAGGGAUAGUUGGGGGCAUUAGUAUUCAAUUGUCAGAGGUGAAAUUCUUGGAUUUAUUGAAGACUAACUUCUGCGAAAGCAUUUGCCAAGGAUGUUUUCAUUAAUCAAGAACGAAAGUUAGGGGAUCGAAGACGAUCAGAUACCGUCGUAGU
rnacentral:rRNA from 1 species